rnacentral:tRNA from 1 species
GCAUUGGUGGUUCAGUGGUAGAAUUCUCAUCUUCCACGAGGAAGACCCUAGUUUGAUUCCUGGCCAGUGCA